rnacentral:SRP_RNA from 1 species
CCGUGCUAGACGGGGAGGUAGCGGUGCCCUGUACUCGCAAUCCGCUAUAGCGAGGUCGAAUUCCUUCCCCCGGUUUUAGCAUCGUAGGGUCUGACCUAAGUAAGUGGUGUUGACAUCUGGGUUCCACGCAACGGAAAUCCGUGAAUCGUGUCAGGUCCGGAAGGAAGCAGCACUAAGCGGUACCUUCUGUGUGCCGUGGAGUCGCCUGGAUCGAGCUAACUGCUUAGGUAACGCCUGGGGUGUUAAUCCCAAAGGAAGGUGCACGG